UGGAAGACUAGUGAUUUUGUUGUUGUAAAUUCAGCACCCAGACAACAAGUCAUAGUCUACCUCA
ensembl:miRNA mir7a-2 microRNA 7a-2